AACCUAACAAGGAUUCCCCUAGUAACGGCGAGUGAAGAGGGAAAAGCCCAAAUUUGUAAUCUGGCUCUUUUAUAAGGGUCCGAGUUGUAAUUUUGAGAACUGUUUUCCGUGCUGGACCAUGUAAAAGUCUGUUGAAAAACAGCAUCAUUGAGGGUGAUAAUCCCGUACAUGAUAUGGACUACCAGGACAAUGUGAUACAGUCUCUAAGAGUCGAGUUGUUUGGGAAUGCAGCUCAAAGUGGGUGGUAAAUUCCAUCUAAGGCUAAAUAUAGGUGAGAGACCGAUAGCAAACAAGUACCGUGAGGGAAAGAUGAAAAGAACUUUGGAAAGAGAGUUAACAGUACGUGAAAUUGUUAAAAGGGAAACAUUUGAAGUUACACUUGUUAUUGUUGGUUCAGCUCUUUUCUUAAGGGUGUAUUCCAAUGGUUAACAGACCAGCAUCAAUUUUUGAGUGUUAGAUAAGGGUCUUGAGAAUGUAGCAACUUUGGUUGUGUUAUAGAUCUUGACUUGAUAUAAUGCUUAGGAUUGAGGAACGCAGUGAGCUUCAUUUUUUGAAGUGGAUGUUUUUUUAAAUGUCUUCUCACUA
rnacentral:rRNA from 1 species